rnacentral:rRNA from 1 species
AGAGUUUGAUCAUGGCUCAGAGCGAACGCUGGCGGCAGGCUUAACACAUGCAAGUCGAGCGGGCGUAGCAAUACGUCAGCGGCAGACGGGUGAGUAACGCGUGGGAACGUACCUUUUGGUUCGGAACAACACAGGGAAACUUGUGCUAAUACCGGAUAAGCCCUUACGGGGAAAGAUUUAUCGCCGAAAGAUCGGCCCGCGUCUGAUUAGCUAGUUGGUGAGGUAAUGGCUCACCAAGGCGACGAUCAGUAGCUGGUCUGAGAGGAUGAUCAGCCACAUUGGGACUGAGACACGGCCCAAACUCCUACGGGAGGCAGCAGUGGGGAAUAUUGGACAAUGGGGGCAACCCUGAUCCAGCCAUGCCGCGUGAGUGAUGAAGGCCCUAGGGUUGUAAAGCUCUUUUGUGCGGGAAGAUAAUGACGGUACCGCAAGAAUAAGCCCCGGCUAACUUCGUGCCAGCAGCCGCGGUAAUACGAAGGGGGCUAGCGUUGCUCGGAAUCACUGGGCGUAAAGGGUGCGUAGGCGGGUCUUUAAGUCAGGGGUGAAAUCCUGGAGCUCAACUCCAGAACUGCCUUUGAUACUGAGGAUCUUGAGUUCGGGAGAGGUGAGUGGAACUGCGAGUGUAGAGGUGAAAUUCGUAGAUAUUCGCAAGAACACCAGUGGCGAAGGCGGCUCACUGGCCCGAUACUGACGCUGAGGCACGAAAGCGUGGGGAGCAAACAGGAUUAGAUACCCUAGUAGUCC